AUCUACAGCCAUGCCACCCUAACAAGCCCGAUCCCGUCUGAUCUCGGAAGCUAAGCAGGGUCGGGCCUGGUUAGUACUUGGAUGGGAGACCAGCUAGAAAGACCAGGUGCUGUAGGCA
rnacentral:rRNA from 1 species